UGAUGACUGGAGAUUGAUCUUAGGAGCACCCAUGAUGACUUCAUCAAUAAUGGUUGGUGGGAUGAAACGAAUGAGGGAUGGAUGAUCAGUUAUCUUGUACAUUCUUGAGUAUCUUGCAACCUCAAAAAUAUCAAAUUUCACAAUGGAGCCGGCUUUCAAAGAUGACUUGUAAUGAUAGUACGUCCGGCGAGAAUAAACCCAUGAAUCACGGAAUCUGCAAAUAAUAUUAUUCAACAAAGAAUCAGGAAAUCAAUUAAAAACAAUUAUAUUAAAUAAGUGUGAUAGAUCAAAGAUUAACUUACCUUUUCAUCAAAGGAAGAGAAUGGUGAUUCCCAUAAACUCUCUGUCUUU
rnacentral:lncRNA from 1 species